rnacentral:ncRNA from 2 species
CAUGCCUUGAGUGUAGGACCGUUGGUAUCUUAAUUACCCUCCCACACCCAAGGCUUGCA